AUUGUUGUACUUGCUUCAGCAAGAAACCUCAAGCACAGAGCUGAAAACUGAAUGUGCAGUGGUGUUGGGAAGUCUUGCUAUGGGUACUGAAAACAAUGUCAAGUCUCUACUGGACUGCCAUAUUAUCCCUGCCUUAUUGCAAGGACUACUGUCCCCAGACCUGAAGUUUAUUGAAGCUUGCCUCCGAUGCCUGCGUACCAUCUUCACCAGUCCUGUCACUCCAGAGGAGCUACUGUAUACAGAUGCCACAGUGAUACCGCAUCUCAUGGCACUGCUUAGCAGGUCCCGCUAUACCCAGGAGUACAUCUGUCAGAUCUUCUCCCACUGCUGUAAAGUAAGAACCAGAAUAAAUGUUAUCUAUAAUGUAAAAUCUUA
rnacentral:sRNA from 1 species